UACGUAGGGCGCAAGCGUUAUCCGGAAUUAUUGGGCGUAAAGAGCUCGUAGGCGGUUUGUCGCGUCUGCCGUGAAAGUCCGGGGCUCAACUCCGGAUCUGCGGUGGGUACGGGCAGACUAGAGUGAUGUAGGGGGAGACUGGAAUUCCUGGUGUAGCGGUGAAAUGCGCAGAUAAUCGAGAGGAACACCUGCGGCGAAGGCGG
rnacentral:rRNA from 1 species